rnacentral:rRNA from 1 species
UACGUAGGGUGCGAGCGUUAAUCGGAAUUACUGGGCGUAAAGCGUGCGCAGGCGGUUUGCUAAGACCGAUGUGAAAUCCCCGGGCUUAACCUGGGAACUGCAUUGGUGACUGGCAGGCUAGAGUAUGGCAGAGGGGGGGUAGAAUUCCACGUGUAGCAGUGAAAUGCGUAGAGAUGUGGAGGAAUACCGAUGGCGAAGGCAGCCCCCUGGGCCAAUACUGACGCUCAUGCACGAAAGCGUGGGGAGCAAAC